UGCUCUUUACUUUAUUUGGCCAUACUUGUUAAACAUUGCUAAUCAUAUAAUAAUUGGCAACAUUUACUUGAGUAUGUGACACUCUUUUUAAGCGUGUUCUUAUUAUAAUUUAAAACGCAACACUUUAUAAAUGUGCUUAAAAGUCCAACAAAUAUUUGGCUAAAAUAUACUAUUCCCUCAAAAAAAUAUAAUGUUCCCUCCCAUAUUACUCCCAGUGAAAUAUUAUUUUUUCAAUUUCAAAAGGGCAAAAGAUCUCUCUCCUCGUUAAAAUCUCUGUGGGGUACAUUAGUUUAGGGUUUCUGGCUGCAAUACUAUGUACCGACGAAUAUCGAUCCGGAUUAGGUGUUGUUUCUCAUCUUCUCACCCUACUUUGGACAGUGUUUUUGUAUUCAAACUAUCUUCUCAACAGAAGAAUUCCAGUUUCCCCUUUAUCUUAGGUAUUGUUUUGCACCUUCUCGCCCUCCUCGUUCCAGAUUGAAGAAAUUUAUAUAGUUAGAGAAACAUGAAUUCUUCCAAUCUCAGUUUGGUGCUCUUCUAUUUCAAUAUUUUACCAUCUUACGGUCUCUGAUUGUUGUAGUUGCCUAUCUAAUUUGAUACUUAUUCCAGAAAAAAAUGAACUAUAAAUUAAUUAUUCCUCUUCUAGUUUCCAAGAUUAGUAAUUUAUUUUAAAAUCCUUGCAGAUUUGUGAGCCUAAUUCUACAAAUCGGCUUUCUUCAACAAUAUUACUGUUCAAAAACAGAAGUGUUUAAUGUAACCAAAGGUUGUUUAACCAUAUUCGUGUUCAGUAUCAUUUCCUUCUGGGCCUCCUUAUAAUUUGUUCAACGUGGGUUUUCGAAAAAUGUAUUGUAGGAGUAGUAAAGUUGUGUGCUUGCUUGCCAAGAUACUCCUCCAUCAUAUUUUUCUUUGAGGCAAUUGAUUGGAUACCCAAAUCCUUAGCUAAAUUACCAUUGUCCUGCGCUUCUUUGCUUCUUUUAAGGCAUGGUACUACCUCCUUGGAUAAAUGAAGUGUAGGCGUGAGAACAAUGUCAUUUGAAGUACCUAAACAAAGAUCAGCAGUCUUGGCAAUUUUUUGCUCUUUUACACUGUCCGGAGAUCUGGUUUGUCGAUCUUUUAAACCUAUGUCACUCUGCGCCAAUUGCAAUAUAUUCCUAGAAUCCUUCUCACCUUGCUCAUGUACACUAAGCAAAGCAUCACAAGAGUUAGAACACUUGAAGUUUCCUGUGUAGAAUCUAAUCUAGUUGCAUUCAGUUAGUUUGUUUCAUUCCAUAGUUAGUUAUACCACUCACACGUGGCCUGAGUCGUGCUUUGUUCACGGCAAGGUUGUUUCCUAUUUUUCUUGGUCGUGCAUUGAGCACGUAGGUAACAUGGGAAAGGGUCCUGUUAUUUGUUUUGCUUAUUUAAAGCAGCUGGCAUGAUGAAUAAAUACAUAUCUUGCAGCAACAUAGAAAACUCUCAUAUAUCUAGUUGUAUUUGUUUUUCGUGUACAAACUCAAGUGCGAGGUGAUUAUCAUCUGAGCUAGCUAGUGUACUGCACUUGGCAUGAUGAAUAAGGAUACAUAUCUUGCAGCAACAUAGAAAACUCUCUCAUAUCUACUUGUAUUUGUUUUUCGUGUACAAACUCAAGUGCUAGGUGAUUAUCAUCUGAGCUAGCUAGUGUACUGCACUUACAUCCUGUUGCCCUUUCCAGAUUUUUAAGAUCUGAAGCCUCCUUCUUCUUAGGUGAUCUACGCAUAACUGACCAACCCAUAGCCUGGGAUUGUUGCCCAUGUCGAGAUUCUGCUUCAACACCUGAUCCAAUAGUAGCAUCAACAUCUGAACAAGUUGUUUGCACAGCUGAAUCAACAUUGGCAGAUGUACCAAAUUGUUCACCUACUACACAUCAACUUCUCCCUCACGGGAGGAUCGCACCAACAAGACAGACGAGGACGGUGAAGGCGUCGCGUCAUGGUGGAACGUGUGGUGAAGGAGGCAAGCGCAGCGACACUAGUUUUUCCGAUGUUGACACGAACGAACUACAACGGGUGGCGACUCUUGAUGCAAAUCAACCUUGAGGCGAUGGAUCUUUGGGAUGCCAUCG
rnacentral:lncRNA from 1 species